AUUGAACGCUGGCGGCAGGCUUAACACAUGCAAGUCGAGCGGGGGAAGGUAGCUUGCUACUGGACCUAGCGGCGGACGGGUGAGUAAUGCUUAGGAAUCUGCCUAUUAGUGGGGGACAACAUCUCGAAAGGGAUGCUAAUACCGCAUACGUCCUACGGGAGAAAGCAGGGGAUCUUCGGACCUUGCGCUAAUAGAUGAGCCUAAGUCGGAUUAGCUAGUUGGUGGGGUAAAGGCCUACCAAGGCGACGAUCUGUAGCGGGUCUGAGAGGAUGAUCCGCCACACUGGGACUGAGGCACGGCCCAGCCUCCUACGGGAGGCAGCAGUGGGGAAUAUUGGACAAUGGGGGGAACCCUGAUCCAGCCAUGCCGCGUGUGUGAAGAAGGCCUUAUGGUUGUAAAGCACUUUAAGCGAGGAGGAGGCUACUUUAGUUAAUACCUAGAGAUAGUGGACGUUACUCGCAGAAUAAGCACCGGCUAACUCUGUGCCAGCCGCCGCCGUAA
rnacentral:rRNA from 1 species